CCUACGGGAGGCUGCAGUGAGGAAUAUUGGUCAAUGGGCGAGAGCCUGAACCAGCCAAGUCGCGUGAGGGAGUAAUGCCCUAUGGGUUGUAAACCUCUUUUGUCGGGGAGCAAAAGACGGACGGGGCAGGCUGUGAGAGUACCCGAAGAAAAAGCAGCGGCAAACUCCGGGCCAGCAGCCGCGGUAAGACGGAGGAUGCGAGCGUUAGCCGGAUUUAUUGGGUUUAAAGGGGGCGGAGGCGGGCGGAUACGUUAGAGGUGAACUCCCGAGGCUCAACUUCGGAAUUGCCUCUGAUACUGUUCGGCUAGAGAGUAGUUGCGGUAGGCGGAAUGUAUGGUGUAGCGGUGAAAUGCUUAGAGCUCAUACAGAACACCGAUUGCGAAGGCAGCUUACCAAGCUACUUCUGACGUUGAGGCACGAAAGCGUGGGGAGCAAACAGGAUUAGAUACCCCAGUAGUC
rnacentral:rRNA from 1 species